rnacentral:lncRNA from 1 species
AGAAUACAGGCUUGGAGAUUACUCUAACUGGCUGCAGAAACGGGUCAACAGUGACAAGAAUUGGAAUAAGAUUAGGAGUUGUUUGCAAGACAGUAAGAUCUGCCAGAGGUUGCUGGAUGAUGGCUCCUCCACCAGAGUUGAAGAUUUUUACAGGGAACGCCUCUCUGCUCUUCAGGUAAAUGCAGCAUACAUAAUUUUUGCAUUAUUUGGUUCUUGGAAAUUCAUUGUAAACAAGAAAACUUAAGAUCCUUCUCUUAAUUAUAUGCAAUAAAUCUAAUUGUUUUUAAAAGUUGAUGGGGGAUCUGAUAUCUUUUUGAGCGAAUAAGGAAUAAAUAUCUCUUUGUUUGACAUAUUCUUAUACCAUAAAGGUUUGGGUCACCACUCACAAACUUUAUUUAUUUAUUAUUUCCUAUGAUAUUUCUUCCUAACACGUUCCUCACAUGUUCUCUUCAAUUCAUUGUCUUUUAUGAAUUAUCCUUUUCCUUUAAACCUCUGAGUGAGUUAUAGCAAAGUGUUAGUGAUUUGAGCAACAAUAAUAACGAUGAAGAAUAUGAAAUCGACAAAGAAAUGUAAUCUUAGCCCCUGUUUAAGCCACAUUUUUAACUCAUUAAAAUAAAAAAUAUAACCGUUAUCCAUCACUAUCAUUUUUAAAUUUCUAUCUCUAGUGUGGGGCCAUAACGACUCUAUUUAUCAUUCUCAUUUUCAUUAUAAUGUGGCUCAAACACUCUUAAUGUCAAACAGAACUUCAGUGUACAUAUCUGUUAGUACACUUCUGAUGCUUCACCAACUUUUAUAUAAGCUGUGGCAAUUGUUUUCUUGUACGUCCAUUCCCUCUCUAAUAUAAUAUUCUAAUCAUGUUCGCUAGUUAGCUGAUCUUGGAUUUGCCAUCCAGUUUCUUUCGUUUUCGUAUUCGAAAACCCAACUUCUCUAUCAAACUUACUAAUACUGUUCUUGUAUCAUUUCUUCAGUCUGGUUGCUGUAAACCAUCAAACGACUGCAACUUCCAGUAUGUUAGCCCCACCAACUGGACUAGGACCUCUCAAUCGUCGUCAACAAAUUCCGACUGCGCUAAGUGGAGCAAUGACCCUAAUGCUUUGUGCUAUAGCUGCCAAUCAUGCAAGGCUGGGUUGCUGGAUAACAUCAAGAGAGACUGGAAGAGAGUGGCUGUCAUCAACAUCAUAUUCCUAGUCUUUCUCAUAAUCGUCUACUCCGUUGGAUGCUGCGCUUUUAGAAACAAUCGGGAGGACAACGGAUGGAAACGAUAUCCUUGAAUGUGUCCAUAA